AGCUUUGCGCAGAGGCGAUAUCGUAACCAAUGAAGUUCUACUGAGGUGCGAUUAUUGCUAGUUGAAACCCCAUUUCUCUGUAAUCAAAAAUCCAAACCGAGAAAUUAAGAGUUUCAGAUAAUUAUUACUCGAAAUCUGGAGGUAUAUUU